GACGAACGCUGGCGGCGUGCUUAACACAUGCAAGUCGAACGGAAAGGCCCUGCUUUUGUGGGGUGCUCGAGUGGCGAACGGGUGAGUAACACGUGAGUAACCUGCCCUUGACUUUGGGAUAACUUCAGGAAACUGGGGCUAAUACCGGAUAGGAGCUCCUGCUGCAUGGUGGGGGUUGGAAAUUUUCGGCGGGUGGGGAUGGACUCGCGGCUUAUCAGCUUGUUGGUGGGGUAGUGGCUUACCAAGGCUUUGACGGGUAGCCGGCCUGAGAGGGUGACCGGCCACAUUGGGACUGAGAUAAGGCCCAGACUCGUAAGGGAGGAAGCAGUGGGGAAUAUUGUACAAUGGGCGGAAGCCUGAUGCAGCAACGCGGAGUGCGGGAUGACGGCCUUCGGGUUGUAAACCGCUUUCGCCUGUGACGAAGCGUGAGUGACGGUAAUGGGUAAAGAAGCACCGGCUAACUACGUG
rnacentral:rRNA from 1 species